rfam:Spinacia oleracea cultivar SynViroflay scaffold32304.con0002.1, whole genome shotgun sequence.
UGCCUAUUAGCUCAAUUGGUAGAGCUUUGUGCGCUUGCACGAUGAUGUAGGUUCAAAUCCUACAUACGCAA